AUUCCAGCUCCAAUAGCGUAUAUUAAAGUUGUUGUAGUUAAAAAGCUCGUAGUUGGAUUUCGGCAGGUAUAGGUUGGUUUGAAUUGCUUCAAUACUGACUUUUUUACCCGUGUGUUUUGCCAGAAUUUAACGGGUGAUCUUCGCCGAUUGUCUGUUAGAACUGACAGGUUUACUUUGAAAAAAUUAGAGUGCUCAAAGCAAGCUUGAUUGCUUGAAUAUUCGUGCAUGGAAUAAUAGAAUAGGAAGUCGUUUCUAUUUUGUUGGUUUUCGGAAAUCGACUUAAUGAUUAAUAGGGACAGUCGGGGGCAUUUGUAUUCAAACGACAGAGGUGAAAUUCUUGGACCGUUUGAAGACAAACUACUGCGAAAGCAUUUGCCAAGAAUGUUUUCAUUA
rnacentral:rRNA from 1 species